rnacentral:rRNA from 1 species
AAGAAAGUUGAAAGGCGCUUUUGCGUCACUGAUGGAUGGACCCGCGGUGCAUUAGCUAGUUGGUGAGGUAACGGCUCACCAAGGCAACGAUGCAUAGCCGACCUGAGAGGGUGAUCGGCCACACUGGGACUGAGACACGGCCCAGACUCCUACGGGAGGCAGCAGUAGGGAAUCUUCGGCAAUGGACGAAAGUCUGACCGAGCAACGCCGCGUGAGUGAAGAAGGUUUUCGGAUCGUAAAACUCUGUUGUUAGAGAAGAACAAGGACGUUAGUAACUGAACGUCCCCUGACGGUAUCUAACCAGAAAGCCACGGCUAACUACGUGCCAGCAGCCGCGGUAAUACGUAGGUGGCAAGCGUUGUCCGGAUUUAUUGGGCGUAAAGCGAGCGCAGGCGGUUUCUUAAGUCUGAUGUGAAAGCCCCCGGCUCAACCGGGGAGGGUCAUUGGAAACUGGGAGACUUGAGUGCAGAAGAGGAGAGUGGAAUUCCAUGUGUAGCGGUGAAAUGCGUAGAUAUAUGGAGGAACACCAGUGGCGAAGGCGGCUCUCUGGUCUGUAA